ensembl:lncRNA
AACUAAUGGAAUAAUUUGGAGGAUCAAAAUGCAAAAUAAUCUUGGUUGGUUGGUGUGAUGUAUGAAAAUCAAUAAUAACAAUUAGCAGAGCUAAAUAUAUACACUUUCACUUAAGUUUAAAAAAAAGAGCAAUGGGUGUGGAAACUUUGUAACCAGUUUUUAGGAAAAAAGUCUUCGGAAAUUAGUCAAAUAAAAGACUACGGUGAUAGAUAAUUUUAGAAACAGAUAGUGGUGAUGUUUUCACAACAUUUCAAAUGUAGUUAAUGCCACUGAACUGUACACUUAAAUAUGGCUAAAAUGGCAGAUCUUGUGUUACAUAUAUGUUACUGCAAUAAAAAAAUUAGAGUGAAACCACAGAUAUUUUGCAUCUUAAAAGCAAAUUUGAUUCUUGAAAACCAAGUGAAAUCCAAUAUACUGGUCUGAACAAAUAUUGUGUCAUAUGUUCUUUAUUUCAGGAUAUAAUAUCACACUCUAGAUUAAGGCAGAAUUGGAGUUGAAAGACCUACCAUUGCUGUUAUUUAAGAAAGAGUUGAAGAAACCAUUUGUGAUUAUCCAGGAGGAAAUGAUGUUGUUCUACAAAUAUCUGGAGUAUUGUUGUGUAGAAACAGGAAAAGGCAUUCUCCAUUCAGUUCCACAAGGUAAAAGUAGACUUUAUCACUGGAAUUCAUCUAUCUAUUCAUUCCACAAACCAGGUCUGCUUGAUGAAGCUCUGGGUCAUUCCUUUAUACAUUGAACAGGCUAAUAAAAUUAAAAAUGGGCAGAUGAAGUCUAAACACCACUGGAUAACUGAGAGAGAUGAUGAUCAAAGAAGAGGCCCUCUCAUGGAUAACUGACACAUAAGUUAUCAGGUAUGGGCCUACAUAAGGAAAUUCAUCAAUCAUGUGGAGGAAAAUGUUAUUCAGAUGCAAGGAUCUGACCAUAAUAGUCUUCUUUAGUGUGAGUGUGGAAGUCCCAUCUAUACUUAUCUGAUCUCCUUUUUGGUGUUGAUCUUAGAUAGCAAGAAGUUCUUACAGUCUUUAUCCUUUAUCUCUGAAUUUUUCUAAAACUUUCUGGAGAGCAGCCAUAACUUCCUUAUUCCUCAAGCUGUAGAUCAAUGGGUUCAACAUAGGUGCCACCACAGAAUAGAAUAGAGCAACCAUCUUCUCUUCUUCCAUUGAGGAGGCUGACUGUGGCCUCAGGUAGGUGAAUAUGGCUGCGCCAAAGCACAUGCAAACCACAGUGAGGUGGGAGGCACAAGUCCCAAAUGCUUUGCGGCGUCCCUGAGUAGAACGAAUGCGCAGAAUGGCAGCAACUAUACGACCAUAGGAGAAGAGGACCAGAGAACAGGGAAGCAUGAUCACCAGAAAUCCUGAGAUGGCCGCCAUGACCUUGUUGAAGGAGAUGUCCACACAGGCUAGCUGUAGCACUGCUAGGGUCUCACAGGCAAAGUGAUUGAUAACAUUGUGACACAGAGGAAGCCGGAAGGUGAUGAUUGUUUCCAUCAGUGAAUUCAUGAAACCAGCCACCAAGCAGCCGGCAGCCAGCCCCAGGCACAGUCCUCCAUGCAUG